GUGUGAGAGAGAAAGUGAGUUGUAUCUCAUAGUUGAAACCAAUACUUUUCUCAGGGCAGGUCUGCCGGUUUUAACUAGCAGAAGUUAGUUUUCUUAGCAGGUUAGGAUAAUUAGGUAAAGGUAAAAUGCUAACAAUGUCCCCGAUGCGACUGGUAUCUAUGUACAACAAUGCCUGCCCUGAGAACAGACUUAAUUUUCCACUAUGCGAUGCUCCGGGCCAAACGGUCUGUGAGGGAUGACUCAAGAGGAAAUUAGCUUUCUGUUCUACUCGAGCUAUUUUAUUUAGCAUUUUCGUGGAAAAGUCGCCUAAAUACGUUUGAGCAGCUGCUAGUUUAGGCAUGGAGGGUCUUCAAGAUGCAAUUAAACACCAAUUGCCCGAGUUGGAGACCGAGAUGGGGAGAUCUUUGUCGGAGCAUCUGAGGGCAAAUUUUGGAGUGGAGAAUAUUAACAACCUUGAAUAUGUUCAGCCGGAGGACAUAAAAUACCAUUUGAUGCCAAUAUAGUGCCUGGAAUUGCUUCAGUCCUUCAACCAAAGAGGUGAGAUCAUGAUUCAUAAAUGUAACACAUUUAUUUUAUUGUUAUGAAAAAAGGAGGUAACCAUUUUAGGUUCUAGAUAUUUGGCUGUCCCCGUAAGAGAACCCUUUGAAGAUCCCUUUUUUAAAAUCCCAUGUAUAUGUAUAACCAUUUUGGUUCCAGAUAGAAGUCUUAUGGGUUCUAUGUAAAAAAAACUUUCCACAGAGGGUUCUACCUGGAACCAAAAAGGGUUCUCCUAUGGGGAAAGCUAAAGAACCCAUUCGGAGUCCUUUUUUCUAAGAGUGCAAAUUCACACACAAGGUUAAAAAGGUUCUGUAAAUAGUUAGUUUGUUUGACCUCAAAAUCAAUGGAUUAUGCUAUAAUGGAGCGAGGCAUAUGCAAUAAAAGGUAUGGAAAUGACAAAAAUACAUAAGUACAAAAAUAUACAAAUGUUUCUGUUAAUUGUUUGUCCUCUUGUGCUGGUAUGGAGUGCAGCGCAUAGCCUAACAGUUUUUUUUCUUUGUAUUAAAAAAACCCAUGAAAAUUAAGAAUGGAUAGGAUCUGUAACAAUGGAUAGUACACUUGUCCUCCUCCAAACAUCAGUGACCUCUAAUAACAGUGGCCUUUGCUUUUCACCAAGUUAUGACUAUGCGACUACUUCAAUACCCUCACUGGCAUCGUGAUUGACAGUCGCCUGACUCAAGCUCUCCUGAACAAGGGUAAGAGAAUUGUCAACUUUUUAAAAUGCCAAAAGAUCAAGUUGAGAAGAGGGAUCUAGUGCCUGCUGAAUGAAAUCGACGGUUACAUCAAAGGCAAUGACAAUCUAACAGCCACUGAUGUUAGACUCUCUUCCUCUUGGCAGAUGUAAGGAAUAGUGUUUUUAUACUUAUAAAGUUUAUAUGAUUAAUUGUGUUUAUACUGUACUAUUUUUACACAUGAUUUUAAUAUUUUUUUAAUAUGUUUUGUGAUUUUAGGUCACUGCAACUCGGGUUGACGUCGAGGCGCAAAUUCCUUUGCCAGACACACCAAGGCUGAUCAUGCUUGGAAAUACUCUAUUGGGUUCCUCAAAAUGGAUGGUGUCGAUCGAGGGGAGAGUGGUCUGUGUUAUGGACAGUGAGUCCAACUUUGUUGCUGCCCUCUGUGCUCUUCAGCACUUUCUAUGAAUUUAACAUAGAAUACCAGGAGUCAGUCUCUGCAACCUUGGAGCUGAUACAGAGGAACCAAAUGCACAGCGAAAGCAGGAGUGAGCCGCAAAACCGGAAAGGUCGUUCAGAGGAAGCCAUUGCCAAUUGACCCACAUGUUAAUUAUUAAGUGCUUUCUCGCAGACCUGAAGGAGUUUGAGUGGAAAAACUCCAACAUGAAAUCCUGCCAUGCGGUUUGGGUCAGCAAAUGAUCUUCUUGCGCCAUCCUGGAGCCUGUGUUGGCUUGCAGUAGCGUGCUUCUCUGGCUCCAGUCAAGCCCUGCUCGCUCCUCUCUAUCAUCCUUCUCUCUCAGCCCCUUUCCCUCUCGAUCUCUCUCUCUCUCUCUCUCUCUCUCUCUCUCUCUCUCUCUCUCUCUCUCUCUCUCUCUCACAGGCAAGCAGUUCUUGUUUUAGUUUUUUGUGAAAACUAAACUGUUUUCCUAUUUUUCAAUGAUCUGUUUAGAUUAUUAUUCUCUUUUUCUUUUCUUUUUACAUAAUCCUGUAUUUUCAAGAAUGACCUAUUCUGAUGUCUUGGUUUGUGUAUGGUGAAGUACAUUAUUGGCCAGUAUUUGUCAAUGUUCUUAUCACUGUAUCUCUGUCUCUUUCUCUCCCCUACUAUCUGGAGUUGUAAUGUUGCUCUUUUCAAAUGUUGUUUUUGUGGUUAAAGUGCAAUUCAUGUUAUGAAUUUGAAUAAGUAUAUAUAUUUGUACACAUAUUGUUUUUCUUACAAUAUUACAAUUCAGGGAGCUGUCUUAAGCCAACCUGCAA